UUCUUAUUAUAGGUUCAUCCCUUGUCACUUUUGACACUACUCGCAUCCAUUAAUUCACUCGUCCUGUGGGAUAUGCUUCAGAGUCAUUGUUCCACACAUUUAACGCUUUAUCAUGAUGCUGAAUCUUAUGAUGGUGUUCUGGUUCAUGUGAAAUUAAUUAUGCGAGUUUUCUCAACACAGUCGAUUUAGAUGGCUAUAGCUAUUCAGGUUCAAGCUAUUUUCUCCUUCAAAUUUAGCAUCAUUUUCAGCAGUUCAUCUAAUCCGCUUCCUUUGGUUACAGGAUGACAAGAUUUUCCUGGAGAGAAGUAUGCAGGAUAGUGAAAGAGCACAGAUGGAAGAUACUGUUUUGUGUAAAGGCGUUCAAAAAGGCCUCGAAUAUCCAGCCUAUUGCAGUGGAAGAUAUGCGCCGACAGUUGAAAAUGCCACGCACCAUUUCCAUGGUCUGCUCUAUCGCAAUCUCAAAGGGUGAAUUUACAGGUAUAUCUAGUUCGGAGAGGGUGAAUAACCUGGUAGUCCUUUGCUUUUUUACUUUUCAUUUCCAGAAUAUGAGAUAUAAAAACCCCCUCCAAGCUUAUUGAAUCUAUAUCAUGUUUGGCUAACAAAACCCUCCAGGCUUUAGCAGAAGUGACUCCCAACCCAUGGCCUUUCGAUUUUCCUCUUAUGCUGCAACAAAUGUAAUUCUAAUGUGUCUAUAAAUCGGUUUAGCUUUGCUUA